rnacentral:rRNA from 1 species
GAGCUUGCUCCCUGAAGUCAGCGGCGGACGGGUGAGUAACACGUGGGCAACCUGCCUGUAAGACUGGGAUAACUCCGGGAAACCGGGGCUAAUACCGGAUAACUCUUUUCCUCACAUGAGGAAAAGCUGAAAGAUGGUUUCGGCUAUCACUUACAGAUGGGCCCGCGGCGCAUUAGCUAGUUGGUGAGGUAACGGCUCACCAAGGCCACGAUGCGUAGCCGACCUGAGAGGGUGAUCGGCCACACUGGGACUGAGACACGGCCCAGACUCCUACGGGAGGCAGCAGUAGGGAAUCUUCCGCAAUGGACGAAAGUCUGACGGAACAACGCCGCGUGAGUGAUGAAGGUUUUCGGAUCGUAUAACUCUGUUGUCAGGGAAGAACAAGUACCGGAGUAACUGCCGGUACCUUGACGGUACCUGACCACAAAGCCACGGCUAACUACGUGCCAUCAGCCGCGGUAAUACGUAUGUGGCAAGCGUUGUCCGGAAUUAUUGGGCGUAAAGCGCGCGCAGGCGGUUCCUUA